AGGACGAACGCUGGCGGCGUGCUUAACACAUGCAAGUCGAGCGGAAAGGCCCUUCGGGGUACUCGAGCGGCGAACGGGUGAGUAACACGUGAGGAACCUGCCCUUAACUCUGGGAUAGCUUCGGGAAACCGGAAUUAAUACCGGAUAUGACUGUGACCGGCAUCGGACACGGUGGAAAGAUUCAUCGGUUAGGGAUGGACUCGCGGCCUAUCAGCUUGUUGGUGAGGUAACGGCUCACCAAGGCGACGACGGGUAGCCGGCCUGAGAGGGCGACCGGCCACACUGGGACUGAGACACGGCCCAGACUCCUACGGGAGGCAGCAGUGGGGAAUAUUGCGCAAUGGGCGAAAGCCUGACGCAGCAACGCCGCGUGGGGAUGAAGGCCUUCGGGUUGUAACCCUUUCAGCAGGGACGAAGCGAAAGUGACGGUACCUGCAGAAGAAGCGCCGGCUAACUACGUGCCAGCAGCCGC
rnacentral:rRNA from 1 species